AUGACCUUUAAACUAGUCCCGUGAGGCUAAGAAGGAAAUCUGCGCUAACAUGCUUUUUUGCAUGUCUAACCAGAAAGACCAUCUUGGACUCAGUGUCCAGGUGGUCUUUUUCU
rfam:Lactobacillus sp. ASF360 genomic scaffold acMPL-supercont1.3, whole genome shotgun sequence.